rnacentral:rRNA from 1 species
CCUGAGAAACCCAAAAGAUCGAAUGGGGAGAUUCAUCGUCAACUCAUUUUGUAUAUGUAUUAGUUAUGAUGUGGGUUACUCUUGUAGUAUUGCUUACACAUACUUUUACAUUUAUUUGCAGAAUGUUGUCGGCGUGCACUUCUCCCCUAGUAGGACAUCGCGACCCGUUGGGUGUCGGUCUACGACCCAAGUUGUAGUCUAUAAUAUUUUAAUAUAUUAAAGACACUUGGUGUUUUCUGACCGGCUGCCCGGCGGUACUCGUACGGUAUUAAGCCGCAAUUAUAUGCGUCCAUAUCCAUCGCAAGCGAGGCUAGUUUCUGGUAGUACGGACCUAGUGCCGUCGCUGGAGCUUGCCAGCUGUUGGUAGUUAUGGUAUUCUAGGACUGGCUAAAAAAUAAUUACCGGUCGGCGAUGCUACUGCUUUGGNUACUUUCNNNNNNNNNNNNNNNACACGGACCAAGGAGUCUAACAUGUACGCGAGUCAUUGGGAUUUUUUUUAAAUUAAACCUAAAGGCGUAAUGAAAGUAAAGGUUGUCCUUGCGUCAACCGAGGGAGGAUAAGUUGUGUUAUGAUACAGCUUCGCACUCCCGGGGCGUCUCAUUCUCAAUACGAGAAGAGGCGCACCUAG